rnacentral:rRNA from 1 species
AUGCACGCUGGCGGCGUGCCUAAUACAUGCAAGUCGAGCGAACAGACGAGGAGCUUGCUCCUCUGACGUUAGCGGCGGACGGGUGAGUAACACGUGGAUAACCUACCUAUAAGACUGGGAUAACUUCGGGAAACCGGAGCUAAUACCGGAUAAUAUAUUGAACCGCAUGGUUCAAUAGUGAAAGACGGUUUUGCUGUCACUUAUAGAUGGAUCCGCGCCGCAUUAGCUAGUUGGUAAGGUAACGGCUUACCAAGGCAACGAUGCGUAGCCGACCUGAGAGGGUGAUCGGCCCCACUGGAACUGAGACACGGUCCAGACUCCUACGGGAGGCAGCAGUAGGGAAUCUUCCGCAAUGGGCGAAAGCUUGACGGAGCAACGCCGCGUGAGUGAUGAAGGUCUUCGGAUCGUAAAACUCUGUUAUUAGGGAAGAACAAAUGUGUAAGUAACUAUGCACGUCUUGACGGUACCUAAUCAGAAAGCCACGGCUAACUACGUG